AUUGAACGCUGGCGGCAGGCCUAACACAUGCAAGUCGAACGAGUGGCGGACGGGUGAGUAAUGUCUGGGAAACUGCCUGAUGGAGGGGGAUAACUACUGGAAAUGGUAGCUAAUACCGCAUACCAUCGGAUCUGCCCAGAUGGGAUUAGCUAGUAGGUGGGGUAACGGCUCACCUAGGCGACGAUCCCUAGCUGGUCUGAGAGGAUGACCGGCCACACGGGAAGUGAGACACGGCCCAGACUCCUACGGGAGGCAGCAGUGGGGAAUAUGGCACAGUGGGCGCAAGCCUGAUGCAGCCAUGCCGCGUGUAUGAAGAAGGCCUUGGGGUUGUAAAGUACUUUCAGCGGGGAGGCGUUACCCGCAGAAGAAGCACCGGCUAACUACGUGCCAGCAGCCGCGGUAAUUC
rnacentral:rRNA from 1 species